CCUACGGGAGGCAGCAGUGGGGAAUAUUGCGCAAUGGGCGAAAGCCUGACGCAGCGACGCCGCGUGAGGGAUGAAGGUCUUCGGAUUGUAAACCGCUGUUAUCAGGGAAGAACGUUCACUGUAGUAAACAUCAGCGAAUUGACGGUACCUUCAAAGGAAGCGCCGGCUAACUCCGUGCCAGCAGCCGCGGUAAUACGUAGGUUGCGAGCGUUAAUCGGAAUUACUGGGCGUAAAGCGCUCGUAGGCAGUAUGUGAAGUCAAGGGUGAAAACCCCGGGCUCAACCUCGGAACUGCGUGUGAAACUGGCAAACUGGAGUUUGUGAGAGGUAAGCGGAAUUCCAGGUGAAGCGGUGAAAUGCGUAGAUAUAUGGAGGAACAUCAGUGGCGAAGGCGGCUAACUGGCACCUAACUGACGCUGAGGAACGAAAGCGUGGGUAGCAAACAGGAUUAGAUACCCGAGUAGUC
rnacentral:rRNA from 1 species